rnacentral:lncRNA from 1 species
CUACAUCACAUUAAAUCACAUCAAAUUUUUUUCUCUUUCACCUUAAAUCUUCAUAUUCUUCUCCAAAACCACCACCACCACCACUACUUAUCUAUUUUUAUUCCUCUAUCUUUCACAAACAAGAUUGAAAAACAACAACACAAAUUUUUACACAAAAAUUUUACAAAACAUAAAAUAAAAUAAUGAAGAAUAGAGGAUUCAAUCACUUUGUUUAAAGGCUUGCUCAAGCAAUCCAUCUAUUUAAGGUGCAUCAAGUUAGAGCAAAAAUCAUGCAACUAUAAGGAAAAAUAGAGG